GAUGAACGCUGGCGGCGUGCCUAAUACAUGCAAGUCGAGCGAAUGGAUUAAGAGCUUGCUCUUAUGAAGUUAGCGGCGGACGGGUGAGUAACACGUGGGUAACCUGCCCAUAAGACUGGGAUAACUCCGGGAAACCGGGGCUAAUACCGGAUAAUAUUUUGAACUGCAUGGUUCAAAAUUGAAAGGCGGUUUCGGCUGUCACUUAUGGAUGGACCCGCGUCGCAUUAGCUAGUCGGUGAGGUAACGGCCCACCAAGGCAACGAUGCGUAGCCGACCUGAGAGGUGGAUCGGCCACCCGUGGACUGCGACACGGCCCAGACUCCUACGGGAGGCAGCAGUAGGGAAUCUUCCGCAAUGGACGAAAGUCUGACGGAGCAACGCCGCGUGAGUGAUGAAGGCUUUCGGGUCGUAAAACUCUGUUGUUAGGGAAGAACAAGUGCUAGUUGAAUAAGCUGGCACCUUGACGGUACCUAACCAGAAAGCCACGGCUAACUACGUGCCAGCCGCCGCCGUAA
rnacentral:rRNA from 1 species